AUCUUAAUGUUGUUCACUUGAGUGAUGAUAUUAUAAGGAAAAGUGUAAUAUCACAGGAUAUUUAUGUUUAGUAACCAGUAAUUCAGAGAUUGGUAUUCAUGGUUACUAUAACGAGGCUGUAGAAACGCACCCUUUCUUCUUUGCAAAUGGUCCUGUAUUUAUGUCUAAGCCGAAACUGGAACCUCUGAAUAAUUUAGAUUUAUUCUUGUUAUUUUCUAAAAUACUUAUCUACAGUAUACCAUAAGGAAUGAUACCGUAUCGCACCUAAUCAAGUGCCUUAAGAAACAUCAACAGGAUAUCACAGUAAUCCCGUAUCGACUGAUAUUUGUAGCCACUACAAUAUCUAUGACACUGGUAGUAAUUAUGAGAACAAUAAUGAUGUGUUCUAUAAGAGGAAAUGAUGAUUAGGAACAAAAACUUACAGGUAAGUCAAAGUAUAUGUUAUUUGCCAUUUGAAAAGAAAGUUACUAACUUGGAAUUUUUUGAUAAAUAAUAAUUGUAUCAUACGUACUUUUGAAUUCGUGCAAGAACAUAUGUAAUUUUGAAGUAGUUAUUAUUAGGAAAUUGUUAGACGCGAACAGUAUGCGAAAAGUUAGUAUGCAGUGUAAUAAUUAUCAAUCAAAACACAAGAAUUAAAUUCUUGAGGAAAAAAUUUCCGGAAUUUCUUAUUUACAUGAUUAUAAAGAAAUCCAUAAUAAAAAGGAGCUGCUUUCUAAUACUUCUCUUCCUUGUAAUGCCUGCGUUAAUAAUAACGAGGUUCGACUUUUUGUUUUUAGAGGGAUACUGGAAAAUUUGAAAGUACAGUACCAUUGGGAAGAAAAUCACGAUAUUGAAAACGAUAUUUGCAAGUAAAUUUCCAAAAAAUCUGUUUUCAAAUUUUCGCUUUCUAUUUCACAUUAAAAGAAAGGGAGGGCUGCCUUCUUUUUCUGCAAGACAAAACAAACAUUCUGAAUCUCGUAUCAAUGAAUGAUGUCAAUAAGUUAUUUUUCUUUUCAGAUUGAACAAUAUUCCAGAUUUAUUCAUAAUUUCAUACUACGCGAAGAAUAGACUUUUCAUAGGUAUAUAAAGGAAAUAUUAAGUAUAGGAAAACUCUUUUUCGUUGUAGGUGACAUAUGCUUCACGGUUGAACACAUGUAUUUUUGAACACAUAUAAAUGAAAAAGUACUCUUAUGGAGAAAAAGAAUUGAUACCUUCGAUUGACAUUAGAUAAUGUAUAUAAACUUAUGAACAAUCACUAUCAGUUUGUAUCUUAGGUGCACACGCAGAUUUGUUGGAGUUCUUAUAAAAUGUACUUCCUGUACGAACGUUUUAUUCUUCCAAAUUUUACGAUACUAUGUCUCAUAUAAUAACUAUAUGGAUUAAACGUAAUAUAAAUGAUCCGAAAAUAGACUCGAACGACAUUAAUUGUCUUUCUAUUUAUACCAAUAUCGAAAAUACAAGUAAAGCUGGAGCAAUAGUAUGCAAGAAUGGACUAUUUAUUAUUUUAAACCAAAUCAUAGCAUAUUCAGAAUGCACAGUAUUAUCAUGAAAUGUAAAUGAAUCAGUUGUAAACGAACGAUUUUACUGUAAAAUCGUUGCCUCCUUUUUUUCAUCUGAAAUAUAGCAGCAAUGAGUACAUUCUUUUAAUAUAUAAUAAAACGAGAUAUCUUUAUAAAGUUACAUAUGUCAUCACUGGUAACUGUUAUCUCGUAUGACACCAAAUAUACCGUUAGUAUGGAAUGAUAUUUUUAUGAAGAUAUACUUUAAUGAUAGAUUUUAUGAAUGAAACGUUAUAUAAGAAAAAUUAUCUCUUGUUAUUCUAUGAAGUGUAGUAGCUAAUGAAGAUUAAUUUUACGAAGUAUUAGAGCAAAAGAGAAUUAAAAAAUUAAAAAGAUCUAAAUAAGAUUGUUCGUGUGGCUUAAUUAUCUCAAUUCUGGUACACCACUUGUUACAUUCUAACUAAUUAGCGCUAAACAAUAACUUGCAAAUAUUAAAGAUAUUAACACCUUAAUAUUAACACCUAAAGGUUUUCAGGAAAUUUUAUAAUACUUGAUUAUUGUAUAUCUAGUCAUUGAUUGAUAAAAUUUCUUGUAUAAGCAUAGAUCGAGGUUGACGUCAUACGCAGAUUGCAUUACAGAACAAUGACGGGCUC